rnacentral:misc_RNA from 1 species
AACGCACAUUGCGCCCGCCAGUAUUCUGGCGGGCAUGCCUGUUCGAGCGUCAUUUCAACCAUCAAGCCCCGGGCUUGUGUUGGGGACCUGCGGCUGCCGCAGGCCCUGAAAGACAGUGGCGGUCUCGCUGUAGCACCGAGCGUAGUAACUAAAACCUCGCUAAGGCUGCUCUGCGGGCUCCGGCCGUAAAACCCCCUUCUAACACAAGGUUGACCUCGGAUCAGGUAGGAAUACCCGCUGAACUUAA